CUUGGGAACUGGAAAAUUUCUCCCACUCUCCAGCCCUGCCUUUUCUAGUGGCCAAUUUAGCCUCUAUGUCUGGACGUCUGGUUGGUGUUGACUAAAAAAUAUAGUCACCAUCACCACCUGAAAGAGAGUUAUUUUAUUUGGUGAGAAUGUUUAGGACUCUGAGCCCUGGAGACAGUAUCUCGGUAGCUCUGAGAAAAGUGAUUCAAGGAACCGGAAGGGGAGUCAGGGUAUAUACAAGUUUGCAGCAAAGGGAGCAGGAGCAGGCAGUCUGAACAUCAAAGAUCAGAUAGCAAAUUAAGGAACUUAGCAUUCUGUAUAUGGGAAGAUAAAAGGCUCUUGGCUCACUGAAUUCAUUCCUUUCAUAUGCACCUCGGCUAUCUGGGGCCAAUCCUGUUUUCUUGCUCACCUUAAGGAGUGACAGAUGGCUCUUCUUGCAUUCCCCCAGCUCCUCAGCAACCACUGUGGGGAGUGGUGGCAUCUGCUGGAUCACAGUUUUGGGAACCCUUAUUCAUAUUUGGAGGCCAGAAACUGCUGAUGGCUGUGACAUUUCUUGUUAAUUGAUACGGCAGGAGAUAUUUUCACUUUACACUAGUAUCUCACAGUCAUGUCACUUAUGUCUCAACAGAAUGGACCCUUGUCUAUGAGAUGCUAUGUUGGAGUUCUGGAUUGUCACUCUGGGGUCACAGCAUGGGCUCGUCAUGUGGUGGUUGAUGGCAGGGGGCAAAUUUUCUCAACCUUACUGGGACUUUAACAUCCAAACACAAGCUGUAGAAAAUCAAACAGAGCAGGAUUUACAUGUUCUGGAAUCAAGACUAUUGCUCCUGUUUUAUUUACUUCACUCAUAGGACUUUGAUGAGGGAUGUUUUGAUGAGUAUCUCUCUGAACAGUUGGAACAUUCUUGUAAAUGAUUGUUCUACAGCUUAAAAAGAAAUUCCAUCCUACCAGCUCACAAGUUCUUUUUACCCAGCUCUAAUCAUAUAAAUUGUUAUGUAAACAGAUGUCUGUUACACCAAAGUCUACUUCACUUGGGAACUCAACUUUUUCUGAGUUCAUAUGCCAGUGGGCUAAAAGAAUCAUCUUUUGAUGUUACCAAGGAACAUUGUAUGCCAUCAGGAUGAGAGUGAAAAGGCAGUCAUCAGUCAUGCUCCUUUGCCUUCAUGCUCCAAGGAACAGAGAGAAAAGACCCAGAAGAGCGAGCAUGCUGCAAGUCUUGGUUUGAUCCCUAACGGAACUCUUUGUCUUGGUUAAAUUAAUUCCUUUCCCCAAAGCACACACUUUUGUCAGUGCCUCCUCUAUAACUGUGAUAAAGACAAUAGUAUAUAAAAGGUUUUCCUCUGCAGAGUUUUAUUUGAUCUUCAUAAGACAGUCAUGAAACAGGUAAAAAAGAAACUAUGGUCUUCCAUUAGCAAAGACUAAUAUCUCAAAGCCACUGAGCUAACAAUAACUCAUUCAAUCAUUCAUGCCUGAAACAAUAUUUCCCAUUGGUUACUAUGUGCCAGGCAUUGUGUUUUAUGCCUCUACAGAAUGAUGACUAAAAACAGACCUGAACAUUGCCCUUAAAAAUCUUAUAGUCUUAUUGAGAAGACAGACAUUAAUGCAUUAAUAGUAAAAGUGGAUUGUUACAAACCAUGGUUGCCUUAUGAUUUGAAAGUAUAAGAAUUACAAGAAUAUGUAGAAGAAGUACUAAGAAGGAUCCCUUCAGAAAAUGAAUUUGGGGCUGAGUCUGAAUAAUGCAUAGGGUUUAUUUAGGGCAGGUAAAAGGUGGAAUAUGAACUAAGAGAACACAUUACACUUUGGGAUCCUAAGAAAGACCCCAUCUGGGCAGGAACUCUGAAAGGGAGGGGGCAUGGGGUGAAGUGAGAAAGGGGACAGAGCCCUCAGAUUGAGAAAAGCCUUCAUGGGGGAAUCAAAAGUAGUCAGGAGGGAGCAAUUUUCACUGGAUGUAUUUAAGCAGAAUAAAGACAACCACGUCUUGUGGACA
ensembl:lncRNA